UUUUUUUUUUUUUUUUUUUGUCUUUUUAGGGCCGCACCUUCAGCAUGUGAAAGUUCCCAGGCUAGGGGUUGAAUCGGAGCUGCAGCUGCCGACCUACACCACAGCCACAGCAAUGCCAGAUCUGAGCUGUGUCCAUAUCAUAUCCUUAACCCACUGAGCAAGGCCAAGGAUCAAACCUGCAUCCUUGAAGAGACUAUAUCUGUUUCUUAACCCACUGAGCCACAGUGGGAACUCUGGGAUAUUAUUUUGGUUGACAUUAAGCUCAGGGCCUCCACAAAAUGUGCCACAAUGGCAUAUUGAUGAUUUUGAGUUAAAGUACUUAAGAAACAGCCAGUGUAAGAGGGCUACUCUUUUCUGUCUCCUUGAAAGCAGGAAAUAAAUCUCUCCUGUGAAAUGUGCACUCCCUGAUCUGGAGGUAGAAGGACACCCUUAUCACCAGAGAUAAGGAAUUAGGGCUGAGAAGCCUUAUAAGCAAACCUUGUUACUCCUUUAACUUACUAUGGAUGGCAAGCCUAACUUUUCUGUUUGGAUUCUUUAAUUAUUGAGCAUUCGAACCUUAAAUUCCUUUGUCCUGUCAAUUCCUCACAAAUGCAUUGUUUCUUUGUGUAAAAAGUAUAAAAGCUGUCUACUUUGGCCAUUUCUUAGGUCCCAUUUCUCUGAGACCUUCGUGCUCACGAAUUAAAAUUUGUUUCUUUUUCUCCUGUUAAUCUGGGUCUUGUGUCAAUUUUAUUAUUCAUCCAGCUACAAGAACUCAAGAGAGGUAUGGGGGGAAGUUCCCCCUCCCCAACACUGAUGUAGACAAAGAAAAUAUGAACCCACGCAUGUGCUGUUGGAAAAGGAAAGAGUAUUUUAAUAGACUUUUCAGGUAACUGUGGAUGUUCUUUGAUAUUACAUCAAAAUUCAACAGAUGGUAGUUUCUUAAACAUUAAUUGCAAGGUAGAAUCUAAAAACAUAUUGAUGAACUUUUCAAAAUUUGGUUAUAUUAAAAUCCAUAGGUUCAUAAUGAAUUUUGAAUGACUCUUGUUCACAAAGGAUUUUCUACCAUCCUGCAUUGAUCAUUUGGAAAAUAUUGGUUCAGUGAGUCAUACAGAUCUUCCAAAUAUUGACAUAUGUCAUUAUACAAUAUCAAGAAUUUCAUUAAUAUCACCACAAAUCUCAGGAGAAAAGUCUUAGUACUAAAAAGCUGUCAAGUUAUGGUAUCUUUAUAGGCUUCCCCAAAUUCUAAUUCAAACUUGACAACUCAAGAUUUACCAUUAGCAGCAAACAUUGUCAUAUGAUUUUUUUGAGGUGACAGGCUCACUUCAUUCAUUUUCAAGAAAAUGUCUACCCAAUUCCCAAAGGAAUAAUAGUUUGUCAGUUAACUAUUCUUUCUUUUUUUUUAAGUUAGCCAUUCUUCUAGGUGAAAAUGGAUCACCAUUUAAAAAGUGGCUAAUUCAGGAGUUCCCACUGUGGUACAGUGAGUUAAAGAUCCAGCACUGUCUCCAUGGUGGCUGGGGUCACUGCUGAGCCCGGCCCAGGGGGUUAAGAAUUCAGUGUUGCUGAAGCUGUGGUGCAGGUAGCCACUGUGGCUCAAGUCUGACUCCUGGCCCACAGGGCGGCCAAAAAAAAAAAGGUUUAUACUCACUGGUCAAGAUUUAGUAGGAGUAAUUUUUACAGCUUCAUCAAGGACAUUCUUAAGUGAAACAAGCUUCCCUCCUGCCCCAUGAGUGCAUGGUGAUGAAGAAUACAGUGACUGCUAGUUCAACGUGGUGCCAUGGCUUUGAUUUGUGUGAAAGUGACAGCAGUUUUACCCACCAUCUCUUUUACACCAUCUAUACAAGUGUUAGCACAGUGAAAAAGGUAAUGUCUUAGUAUGGUGACGACGAUGAAGAAAAAGAGGAUGUGGAGAAGAAGAAAAUAUUUUUGAACACAGAAGCCCUGAAAACUUCUCCAAUUCUACUCAGGCAUCUCAUGGACCAGACUGAAGAACAAUAAACUAAGGUAAUGUACUUAACUGUUUAUUAAAGUUCCCAAACUUAGAGAAAUUAUUUGUUAGCUUAUAGAUUUUUACCUAGUAAAAAUUAUUUUUUCUCAGUAGAAAAGAAAACUCUAAAAGUUAAAACUUUUUUAUUGCCUCUUAAGCCAUUGACCAGUUUUGUGUGUAACCCAUGAAUUGCAUCCUAACAUUCCUUUAUUAAAUUACGGAUAAGUACACAGUUUCUCAAAUUCUUUCUCUCUUUUCUUUUUUUCUUUCUUUCUUUCCUUCUUUCUUUCUUUCUUUCUUUCUUUCUUUCUUUCUUUCUUUCUUUCUUUCUUUCUUUCCUUCCUUCCUUCCUUCUUUUUUUCCAAUCGCAGCCACAGGAUGUGAAAGUUCCCAAGCCAGGAACUGGAGCCCAGUAGUGACAAUGCCAGAUUCUUAACCUGCUGCAACACAAGGGAACACCUCAAACACUGUCUACACUGGUUUUACAUCUUUCUGUUUCCCUCAUUAAUUGAUGAACUCAGUAAAAUCUUUGACACACGUUCAUUUUAUAUGUGCAUGAGUCAUGAUCUUAACUUUUUUCAAAAUUGUCCUUUAGCAACCAUCAGUGUUUCUAUCACAUUCCUAUUGCUAGUGUUAUUGAGCAAAAUCUCCUUUUUUUUUUUUUUUUUUCCCCCGGGGCUGAACCUGUGGCAUAGGGAAGUUCCUGGGCUAGGGGUCGAAUCAGAGCUGCAGCUGCUGGCCUACACCACAGCCACAGCAAUGCCAGAUCCAAGCCACAUCUGCAACCUACACCACAGCUCAUGGCAACACUGGAUCCUUAACCCACUGAGCAGGGUCAGGGAAUAAAGCCCGAGUCCUCAAGGAUACUAGUCAGGUUCAUUAUUGCAGAGCCACAAUGGGAACUCCUGUGCAACCAUUUUUGUCAAAGAAGGUUAUAAAAGCAUUUUGCUUUUUCAUCCUUCGCUCGCCCCUUUCAAAAACAGUCUUAUUAUUCUCUAAUUUCAUUCUCAGGACUGGCCCUGGAGCCAAACUCCUAGUUCUACCCUUCACUAGAAAUAUGACCUUAAACUGCUUAAUUUCUCACUUUGGAUUCCUCAUCUGUAAACUGGAGGUGAUAAUAAUCUCUACCUCAUAAGAUUAUAGAGUGGAUUAUUGAGAACAAGGGGUGUAAAGCUCCUGAUGCUCGAAAGAACUCAAUAGAUGGUCGUUAUUUUUAACACAAUGCUCAGCAUCUAAGAGCUAAAUAAAUGCUAGUUAUCAUGGCUCAGAAGUGAGGUGAUGGCUUAGGGGAGAGGCCCUCCUAAAAUGAUAUUUUUAGAAGGAGGACAAGAAAGGAAAUUAGUGGACAUGCCCCUAUGCCAGGCACUUUUCAUACAUCAUGUAAUUUCAUCCUCACCCAUUGUUGUAAGUCAGAUAUUAUCAUUCCAGAGCAGGACGAGGGUGAGGGGAGGGAGGUACCUAGAGGCCAAAAUUAAGGAGAGAGGCACUCCCUCUCAGGGUUGUGCUGAGGGAAAUGAGGCUCUAACAGGGUAGCUUGGUAACAGAGAGGUGAGCAGCAGAGAUGGGAUUUCCCCUCUGGUCUGCCAGCUGAAGCUGUGGUGUCGACCUGACAUGGACCAACCAUGGGGCUUCCUUGCUAUGAGUUUUCACCCCUUGACCCCAUCUGAUGGUACAGAUCUCUGAGAAACUGCCCAGCUUGUUCUGGAAGGUGCCCAGCUGUGAUUGCCCCACCAUGACUCAAGUCCCUAGCAACCUAAAAUGUUCUAACUUUCCUUUCACUGGAGGGCCCUGCUGACAUAGCUGCACUUUCAGCUUCUUGAGAGUAUCAUAGCAAUGGCCUCUUAAGAUUUUCUCAGUGAGCCCAGAUUCUAACAACUUCUAAUAACUUAAUAAGAAAGGCUUCUUAAGGCAAAACUGGGAAUUUCUGAUCUCUUCGUGAAAAGCUAAGCUUUUUGACCUCCCAUGGCAGAGGAUGCUUCUGGAGGCCACUCCUAUCACUAGGACGAGUCCUUCAGGCCUGCACUUGGGAUUGUUUUCCAACAUCUUUACUUCAAGGUAAAAUAGCUCUGGGGGUAAAAAAAAGCUGCCUUACCAUUUAGUGUUGCCUGUUCCUGAAGAUGGAAAGAUUUACCCAGUGAACAGAGAGCUGAAGCCACACUUGACUUUGGGGAGCUUUCUCUGAGACUCCCUGAGGCGUUUGUGUGAAUGACCAACAUAAGGGCAGGCAAAACCUUUGAAGGAACAAUGAAAGUCUGUUUGGAUAAGCUUCCCUGGAGUCUGAGGGUAGACUCUACAAAGGUGCCCCUCCCUCCACUCCACCUCAAGAGAGGAGGCUGAGCAGAGAAAUGAGUUAUUGGGAAGGAUUGUCCAAAUAAAAAGAUGACCUUUGUUUUGUUUUCAAGGUUUAGCGAUUUCUCUAGGAACAUGCUAUGGUCUGGCUUGUGUCCCCCAAAAUUCCUAAAGUGAAGCUCUAACCCCUAAUGUGACUCUAUUUGGAGAUGGAACCCAUUAGGAGGUAAUUAAGGUUCACCAAUGUCAUAAGGUGGGGCCCUGAUACCAUAGGAUUGGUUCUUACAAGAGACAUCUGAGGUCCACCAUGUGAUCUAGACAAGAAGAGGGUCUCACCUGAAUCCGGCAUUGCUGGCACUGUGAUCUCAGACUUCCAACCUCCAAAACUGUGAGUAAAUAUAAUUUCUAUUGUUUAAGCCAUGCAGCCUACAGUAUUUUGUUAUUGAAACCAGAGGUGACUAAUACAAAACACUUGGUAAUACACCCACAAUUUAUCCAGUUGGCUCCCAGAUUUGCAUCUGUAUCUCUUUAAUCCUCACCAUCCAAGUAAGUAGGUAAUAAUUUUUGCUGUUUAAUGGCUGAAAUUAGAAUAAUAGACUCUUUGGAUUAUAGUCAAGUCCAGAGCUGGGUAGUCUUAUAUGGCACACUUAACCUUUUUGGGCAUCAAUUUCUUCAAGUGCAAAAUGUGGAACGUAUUAGUUCCUGCUUCACAGAUUGCUUACGAGGAUCUAUUUCUGUGUCCACAACCCCCAGUGGGUGGUGUAGGCACUGACCAAGCGGGCCAGAGCCAAAUCAUAUUCCUGGAAGUCAGAAUUAGGGAGGCCAGAAAAGAGAGCGCCAGAGGGGUAAGUAUCCAUGUUCUUAAACUGCAUGAGGUUUCAGUGCUAAGACUGGGCAUAGGGACUGGGCUCAAACAGGAAACACAGGUGAGCGCCUUACUGGGGAGAAGCAUGUGCUGGACAAGUAGAACAGAACAAUACUGAAGAUUGCCACAGAUUGCCUUAUAGGAUCAGAUAAGAUACGAAUGGAGUGAGUUAGGUGACGCACCUAGCACGUGGUAAUGAUUGAAAUCAGUACCAAAGGCAUUAGUUUUUGUGUUAAAAACCCUUCUCCCACACCCAUGAUUCAAAGGGCAGGUUAAUGAUGAAGAUGUUGAUGAAGCAGGGGGUUUGAUGAGGGUCGGGGUUCAGGUGUGCACUGGAUGCAGUAGUUAUUAAGCAUCAAUUUGCUUUCCUUCCUCCUUUCCCUUUCAUGACGUAAUUGAAUAUAAUGGCCCUGUUGGUAGCUCACUGACCAUGCUUCCCACGUGGGAGUCUUCAGCGUUCAUCCCAGGAUGUGCACCCCUCUCCCCACUGCCCUUCUGCUGAGCUGGGAGGCCAGGUCUCUGGGCCUUGGGUAGCAGGAUGUUCCAGAAGGGCCCACAUAGUUUAACAGAGGACUUUAAUUAGGAACAUUGAAGUGGUGCCACCAGGACCCUUAGGACUCUGGUUUGAAAUCUUAGAAACUCUCUCCCAGUGAAGCAACCAAAUGCCUUGUUACAGAAAAGCAUUUUGAGAAAAAUAUAUUCAGGCACAUUAUCAUUAGACCAGAGAAUCUGUUGUAUCUGAAAAGGAAUAAGGGCGAGGAUUCAGACACCUGCCCAACAAAGACAUCUUAUCUGAAACAAUAAGGCAGAGAUUGUUCUGGACUCCCUUGCUUUUGCGCCCCAGGGUUGUUUGGCUUGAAUGACUGCCAAAGCCUAAAGUUCAAAAGAGAGUCACCAGUGGGAAAGAGGCCAGCCUUCUUGGAGUUGGGUUCCCAGAAUUCUCCCAUUUAUUGUCAAGCCUCUCACUCCAAGGUCAGCCUGCUCUGGUUGGUGGUUCGGUUUUAGAGACAGCCCCUCCCUGUACCAUAUAAAGACUGCGAGAGGGAUUCUGACAGUAAAAUCAUCAACUAUGUUGUCCAUUCAAGGACCUAAACUUGGAUAUGUCAACUUCUUCCAGAAGCCACCACCAACGUCAUGUCUGAGGUUCAUGAGGAUGGGCAGCCCCUCGCACACUGAACGCAGCUAUUCUCAUUAGGCUGUCAUAACAGGAGCAAGCAUUUCAUCCUUUUAAAAGUGUUUUAUUGUAGUUGAAUGCAAAUAUGAAUUCAGUUGAUAGGAGUUUAGGUAAGCCAUUAUGCUAAGCUUGGUUUCAUCUUUGAGAUCUUCCACUCUUUUGCUUAACACCCCCUGCCCGUGAAACAUUCACCAUGUCCUGCUGGGUUCUACCUCCGAGUUACCACAGGAACCAACCACUUCUCCAUUGCCACCACACUGGCCAAGUCACCCUCAUGUUUCACCUCUGUUACUGUGACAGCCUCCUAACUGUCCUCUCUGCCCCAAGUCUGCCCUCCCCUCCCCCACAAAAUCUAUUCUCUGUGCUCUCACCAGAACAGUGGUUUCAGCACCCAAGCCUCCCCUUGCUCAAAACCUUGUUGCUCCUAGGCUAAAACUCAGAACUUUUCCCCUGGCCCCUGCCUGCCUCUGCCUCCUCAUCUUGACCCUUGUUCCCUGUCCAUCCCUCUCUGCCUGCAGCCACAUUAACCUCCCAGCUUCUUCCACCCUUCCCUCCACCACCCAUCGAUCACAGUUCAAAUGGCACUUCCUAGGGAAGUUUCCCACGAGACCCCCUAUCUAGGGCAGGUCUCUCUUUCAGUUUUCAUUAACUGUGUUUUCUUUUCUUGAGAGUAAUUAC
rnacentral:lncRNA from 1 species